UGUGUAACUAUUAGGUUUGUGUCUAAUUAAGCCAACCCACUCCAGUGCCUUUCCUGGAGCCUGGCGGACCCAGUGCAUCCAGUAAUCACUGAAGGUGAAUCCAGAGGCUGCACAGGAGAGUCUCAGGGACCCCCCAGGCUGCAUCAAGCCUCCCCCAGACUCCCCCAGCUGCACCUCACACUGAACACCUGCAAAUACAGAGAAUCCUAGUCAGCAAUGGUCACACAUAUUCAUUGUCUCCUCACUCACACCCAGUCCCGUAUUCAAGAUCUCUUAUUUUCAUAAAUUACACUUGCAAACUGUAGCAAAGAAAGCCUCUCUCAACACAAACUCCAUAAUUCUUCCCCAGAUUUCAGUUCUGAACACCAAAUAGAGUAUUUAUUAGCAGAGGGAGCUGAUAUUUGCCUGUCCUCCUGCUAUAUAUUAAGCUCUGGAGUGGAAGUCUCAGGUAGUGACCAUAGCAGAUGAGUGUGCUGGGGGAGUGACAAAUAAAUCAGCAAACAUAGGAGCAUGGAGUGUUUCACUAUGUUCACAAGCAGUGACUCUGGGAAGAUUUGAAAACCUCAACAGUGGGGAGCUGAUAACAGCUCUCCUGUUAUCACCACAGAGAAAUCUGAUGUGUCUUGAAAUUACUACCUUACAAUGCAAACAUUGUGUUUAGCUUUAUGUCAUCAUUCCCACAAGUCUAGGUUGGUUCCCAUAACCUGUUUGUCUGGGUGUCUUUCUGUUUGGGCUACUUCAUAAAUCUGUGUAUUUUAAACCAUCUCACUGAGAAAUCACUGGCAUAUAAUAAUACUAGGAUAAAUAUUGAGAUAUGUGCACAUCAGUGAAAAUAUUCCACAACCUUUGGAAUCAUUGAUCCCUGAUACCUAGGUCCUGUCAGGCAUCACAGCUUGGAGGCAUCACACCAUAAGAAGUCAGUGUAAACUGAUAACUCUAUAAUCUGACCAUUCCAGAAGGCUAAUUUUUUUUUUAAUUCCAUCCAGCAAUGAUGUUUCUCUUAUGGGGCAAGCUAGGGUUUCUAAUUGUUGAACCUGAGUCAAGGCUUGUCUAUGUCCAAGUUUGGUGGCAAUCUGCCUCAUGAAGAGUGGGUAGGUCUCCCAGAAUUUUCUGAUCAUCAAAUGUUCCUUAAUGCCGCCCCUCCCACUUUUGGUGCAGUGUUUUUCACUGCCACAUUUUGAAUCAUGGGGAUGAAAAAGAUGUCUUGUCUGAUGCUUGCCUGCCACACUGGGGAAAUCAUUGACCCAUGAUAUCA